rnacentral:rRNA from 1 species
CCUACGGGGGGCUGCAGUGGGGAAUAUUGGGCAAUGGGCGAAAGCCUGACCCAGCAACGCCGCGUGAAGGAAGAAGGCCUUUGGGUUGUAAACUUCUUUGAUCAGGGACGAAAAAAAUGACGGUACCUGAAAAACAAGCCACGGCUAACUACGUGCCAGCAGCCGCGGUAAUACGUAGGUGGCAAGCGUUAUCCGGAUUUACUGGGUGUAAAGGGCGUGUAGGCGGUUUAGUAAGUCAGAUGUGAAAUUCCCGGGCUUAACCCGGUAGCUGCAUCUGAAACUACAAAACUUGAGUACUGGAGAGGAUAGUGGAAUUCCUAGUGUAGCGGUAAAAUGCGUAGAUAUUAGGAGGAACACCAGUGGCGAAGGCGACUAUCUGGACAGUAACUGACGCUGAGGCGCGAAAGCGUGGGGAGCAAACAGGAUUAGAUACCCUUGUAGUC